GACGGGUGAGUAACACGUAGGCAACCUGCCCUCAAGCUUGGGACAACUACCGGAAACGGUAGCUAAUACCGAAUACUUGUUUUCUUCGCCUGAAGGGAACUGGAAAGACGGAGCAAUCUGUCACUUGAGGAUGGGCCUGCGGCGCAUUAGCUAGUUGGUGAGGUAACGGCUCACCAAGGCGACGAUGCGUAGCCGACCUGAGAGGGUGAUCGGCCACACUGGGACUGAGACACGGCCCAGACUCCUACGGGAGGCAGCAGUAGGGAAUCUUCCGCAAUGGGCGAAAGCCUGACGGAGCAAUGCCGCGUGAGUGAUGAAGGUUUUCGGAUCGUAAAGCUCUGUUGCCAGGGAAGAACGCUUAGGAGAGUAACUGCUCCUGAGGUGACGGUACCUGAGAAGAAAGCCCCGGCUAACUACGUGCCAGCAGCCGCGGUAAUACGUAGGGGGCAAGCGUUGUCCGGAAUUAUUGGGCGUAAAGCGCGCGCAGGCGGUCAUUUAAGUCUGGUGUUUAAUCCCGGGGCUCAACCCCGGAUCGCACUGGAAACUGGGUGACUUGAGUGCAGAAGAGGAGAGUGGAAUUCCACGUGUAGCGGUGAAAUGCGUAGAUAUGUGGAGGAACACCAGUGGCGAAGGCGACUCUCUGGGCUGUAACUGACGCUGAGGCGCGAAAGCGUGGGGAGCAAACAGGAUUAGAUACCCU
rnacentral:rRNA from 1 species